CCUUUCUUCCCACCCAGACGCAUUCCCCCCCCUCUUGCCCCCUUCGAAAUACCCGAGCAUCAUCAUUGACUGAAUCAUCCCCACCACACCCAUAGCGACAAGGGAAACCAUAAUUAGGAACGAUCAACAAACACGAGCUGGUACUUACAUCCAGACCAGCCCGGGACGUCACCCCAAAGCCAAAACAUGCGAACACCUGAGGUAACCCUGGACAGGCCCAGCAAUGACACGGCUAAUGCAGUAUCUACACACCCAAGGUAAGGGUACCCUCUACCCGCAAUACCACCAUACCCCUGGUUAAACACGGGAAACACCGAUAGUAAUAACGGGGGAAAACACAAGCCCACCACGGACGAUGCCACAUAGCUAAGGACACAGGGCCCUGUGAGACGCCGUUGACAGGGGCCAUAGGGGUAGCCUACAAACACUGACACCUAAUCAAAGACUUAUUAAUCUGGUUCAAGGACGAUUACAAAGCAUUAUGUUCACCC